UGCUAUUAGAAACAUGAUUCAGGGUUUAUGU
rnacentral:piRNA from 1 species